AUUGAACGCUGGCGGCAGGCCUAACACAUGCAAGUCGAACGAGUGGCGGACGGGUGAGUAAUGUCUGGGAAACUGCCUGAUGGAGGGGGAUAACUACUGGAAACGGUAGCUAAUACCGCAUACCAUCAGAUGUGCCCAGAUGGGAUUAGCUUGUUGGUGGGGUAACGGCUCACCAAGGCGACGAUCCCUAGCUGGUAUGAGAGGAAGACCAGCCACACUGGAACUUGGAACCGGACCAGAAUCCUAAGGUAGGCAGCAGUGGGGAAUAGUGGACAAUGGGCGCAAGCCUGAUGCAGCCAUGCCGCGUGUAUGAAGAAGGCCUUCGGGUUGUAAAGUACUGUUGGCGGGGAGGCGUUACCCGCAGAAGAAGCACCGGCUAACUCCGUGCCAGCCGCCGCGGUAAUUC
rnacentral:rRNA from 1 species